UAGGGAAUCUUCGGCAAUGGACGAAAGUCUGACCGAGCAACGCCGCGUGAGUGAAGAAGGUUUUCGGAUCGUAAAACUCUGUUGUUAGAGAAGAACAAGGACGUUAGUAACUGAACGUCCCCUGACGGUAUCUAACCAGAAAGCCACGGCUAACUACGUGCCAGCAGCCGCGGUAAUACGUAGGUGGCAAGCGUUGUCCGGAUUUAUUGGGCGUAAAGCGAGCGCAGGCGGUUUCUUAAGUCUGAUGUGAAAGCCCCCGGCUCAACCGGGGAGGGUCAUUGGAGACUGGGGGACUUGUGUGCAGAAGAGGAGAGUGGAAUUCCAUGUGUAGCGGUGAAAUGCGUAGAUAUAUGGAGGAACACCAGUGGCGAAGGCGGCUCUCUGGUCUGUAACUGACGCUGAGGCUCGAAAGCGUGGGGAGCAAACAGG
rnacentral:rRNA from 1 species